UACAGAGGGGGCAAGCGUUGUUCGGAAUUACUGGGCGUAAAGGGCGCGUAGGCGGCCUGCUAAGUCGAACGUGAAAUCCCCAGGCUCAACCUGGGAGCUGCGUCCGAUACUGGAUGGCUUGAAUCCGGGAGAGGGAUGCAGAAUUCCAGGUGUAGCGGUGAAAUGCGUAGAGAUCGGGAGGAACACCGGUGGCGAAGGCGGUCUUCUGGACGGUGACUGACGCUGAGGCGCGAAAGCGUGGGGAGCAAACGGG
rnacentral:rRNA from 1 species